AAGCUGCUUGAGAAUGUAGCCAAAGAAAUGCUUCUAAGCUGUGCUAAAACCUGGUUAACAAAGGAUUCAAGUUGGUGUUAAUACAGAGAACGCGAAUUUUGCUAGUUUGUGGUGUUACUGUGGAACUGCUGAACAUUACUGUAAGCCAGAGACAUCAUUUCAGUGAGUCUUUCCUAAAGUCACUGAGUGAAUGAGUCUGUCACUUCCAUUAGUGCAGAAGAUUUUGCUGGUGAUUUGUAGUCAUAUUUCCAGAAGUGUAUAGCACUGAUCUAUUUCUGCUUCCAUUUAAAGGAAUGGAUGCUCUGACGUUACACUGUGAGCUCCCGUGAAAACUGGAGAGCUAGAUGUAAAGGCUUGAGUACAUUCUUAGCACUUAGAAGUCUUUUGGCCUCAUUAAAAACUCUGUUUUUAAGAGGUGUUCCCUAGAAUCCCUAAAAGGAAAUACCUUGUAAAGCAGUUUGUAAAAGCAUAACAGUUA